rnacentral:rRNA from 1 species
AACGGGAUUACCUUAGUAACGGCGAGUGAAGCGGUAAAAGCUCAAAUUUGAAAUCUGGUACUUUCAGUGCCCGAGUUGUAAUUUGUAGAAUUUGUCUUUGAUUAGGUCCUUGUCUAUGUUCCUUGGAACAGGACGUCAUAGAGGGUGAGAAUCCCGUUUGGCGAGGAUACCUUUUCUCUGUAAGACUUUUUCGAAGAGUCGAGUUGUUUGGGAAUGCAGCUCAAAGUGGGUGGUAAAUUCCAUCUAAAGCUAAAUAUUGGCGAGAGACCGAUAGCGAACAAGUACAGUGAUGGAAAGAUGAAAAGAACUUUGAAAAGAGAGUGAAAAAGUACGUGAAAUUGUUGAAAGGGAAGGGCAUUUGAUCAGACAUGGUGUUUUUUUAAUGUGCAAGUCUCUCGUGGACAUGUGCCUCUGGAAAUUAACACUGGGCCAACAUCAAUUCUGGCAGCAGGAUAAAUCAUUAAGAAUGUAGCUACCUCGGUAGUGUUAUAGCUUUUUGGAAUACUGCUAGCUGGGAUUGAGGACUGCGCUUCGGCAAGGAUGUUGG